rnacentral:rRNA from 1 species
GACGAACGCUGGCGGCGUGCCUAACACAUGCAAGUCGAACGGGACCAGAUGUCAGACAGCGGACAUCAGAAGACAGAUUACAGAUGGCAGAAUACAGAUUCAGAAGAGGGCGUGGAGGAAACCAAGCCUAGAUUCUAAUAUCCUAAGUCUGAGCAUUAGUAUCUGAACUCUGGUAUCUGGCGUCUGAUGUCUGGUCUAGUGGCGGACGGGUGAGUAACGCGUGAGCAACCUGCCUUACAGAGGGGGAUAACAUUCGGAAACAAAUGCUAAUACCGCAUAACAUAUAUUUACGGCAUCGUAGAUAUAUACAAAGGAGCAAUCCGCUGUAAGAUGGGCUCGCGUCCGAUUAGAUAGUUGGUGAGGUAAUGGCUCACCAAGUCUGCGAUCGGUAGCCGGACUGGAGAGGUUGAACCGGCCACUAGUUGGGACUGAGACACGGCCCAGACCUCCGUACGGGAGCGAGCUA